UCCCUUAUAGCUCAGUCGGUAAAAAAAUCUGCCUGCAAUGCAGGAGACCCAGGUUCGAUUCCUGGGUCGGGAA
rnacentral:tRNA from 1 species